CAGUAGCCGCGGUAAUACGGAGGGUGCAAGCGUUAAUCGGAAUUACUGGGCGUAAAGCGCACGCAGGCGGUUUGUUAAGUCAGAUGUGAAAUCCCCGAGCUUAACUUGGGUACUGCAUUUGAAACUGGCAAGCUAGAGUCUUGUAGAGGGGGGUAGAAUUCCAGGUGUAGCGGUGAAAUGCGUAGAGAUCUGGAGGAAUACCGGUGGCGAAGGCGGCCCCCUGGACAAAGACUGACGCUCAGGUGCGAAAGCGUGGGGAGCAAACAGGAUUAGAUACCCCUGUAGUCCCUGUCUCUUAUAC
rnacentral:rRNA from 1 species